AAACAAAAUAUUUUUUUUCAUUCGACCGCCGCGCCGCCGAACGGGCACGACGUGUUCCUAAAGUAAAGCGAAAUUAUAUAUUUGUAAUAGAAUUGCGUAUAUUAAUUAAAAAGAAAAAAUAAAGUGAAUCAAAUAAAGCAAAUAUUAUACAUUAACCAAAUUAGAAACAAUAAAUUACGUCCAAUACACUCAACAACAUCCAUAGUAAAUAAUAGAAACGUGCAGUCGUUUGAAAACCCCAAUAAACAAUCCAUGAGACCAUGCAAACAUUACCCGAAGGAAAAUAAUAAUAAUCAUGACAAAGGUUGUGUCGCCGCAUCCAGCCCGCUAGGAGGACUCCGCCACGUUGACGUGUAGAAACCAAUUAGCCGUACGACGCCCACUGCUGGGCAUAGGCCUCCCCCAAGGAUCU